rnacentral:lncRNA from 1 species
UUUAUUAUAACAACUAGGAGGACAUGAGUUCAAGUACAAAUAUUUCUUUUCCUUUAAUGUAAAGGUGGUGAAUGAUUAUGGAUUGUUGAUAUCAGGUAUCAACAAAGAAGGAGACACGGAGGAGAAAGUGGUGGUACUAAUGGAGGCCGGUUCAUUCUAUCUGGGUGGAGAGCCAAAGGAGGUAAAAGAGCAAGGAGGUUGAGAUUGCAAAGGAGUAUGCUGAGGACAACAAGGAGGCUUGAAUGCUUGAGGGUUGAUCUUAUCUUCAUCACACAGAAGGGUAUAUAUAGAGGAGGGUUUCAUGUUUGGUAGUGCUAAUAUGGUGAACUUGCUAUCAUGCCAUCAUUGUAGGAUGCAUGGGAAGGAUAUCCGUGAUGGGACACAUUCUAUCAUUCCUACAGAGUUCAGGAACAAUAGGGUUUGGUGGCCUAAGGAGUCACAUUCCAAAUAAAAGAAAUGACGUUGAAUGAAGACCUUCCAUAGAAAACAAAUGAUUAGCUCAAAGGGAUGAUGAACUAAACCCUUUCGGAUAAAAUGAGAGGUCAGCUAGAAUCAGCCUUCUAAGCCAUAAGUUUCUUGAUGAUUAGCCAAUCAAUAUUGAGCAACUAUCUUACUAUAAUUUAUGGUUUAUGAUUUACAGGGCGUUGCGAAGGAAAGUCCAUUGAAA